GGUAUAAUUAGUUUAAUUGGCAGAAGGACGUAUUGUGGCUAGAUGUUCAGAGUUCAAAUCUCUGAUUGUUUA
rnacentral:tRNA from 1 species